GUGAAGGAGGAGUAUGUGGUGGAGAAGGUUUUGGAACGCAGAGUGGUGAAGGGAAGAGUAGAGUUUCUGCUGAAAUGGAAGGGGUUCUCAGAUGAGGAUAACACAUGGGAGCCACAAGACAACCUGGACUGCCCCGACCUUAUCACCGAGUACAUGCAGAAACACAAGGAGAAGGAGGAGAAGAAGAAGGAGGAGAAACGGAGAGGAGGAGAGGGACCCAAACAUCACCACUGUCAGCACUGUGACAAAUUCUUCACAACAUCUGGAUAUUUAAAGAUUCAUCAGAGAGUUCACACUGGAGAGAAUCUACACAGCUGUGAUCAAUGUGGGGCAGCUUUCACACUACAGAGUAACCUAAAAAA